rnacentral:lncRNA from 1 species
AUUGGAAUGAAGCAGGGCUGAGGGGGUCACCUGGUCUGCAGCAGCUUCCCAGAAGCACACGUGACAACAAAGCCAGACCCAAAGCAAGCUGAGGUCAACAAUUCAUGGCUGAUCUCCCUUGAUUUUGCCUGGCUCUGACAAACAUCCUACAGAUCCUUGCUCCAUGAAUAAUCUCCUCGAAGAAAAUAUCCACAAGCAGACGAACGGACAUCUUUAGGUAGAUUGUUCCUACAUUAGGGCUUCACACAGUGAAGCCUUUGGUUGGCACAGGACUCCCCAUCUCCAUACAGCUCCCACCUCUGGGCCAUUCUCCCUCUUGGUACUGGAUCUUUAAGGUCAUUACUUGGUCCCACUGCUUCAUUAAAUUCUACUUAAAGUGAUUUAA